AAACAUUGCUAUAGUAAUUCUUUUUUAAAUUAAGGGUACACAUGAGGGCAAGCAAUAAAUGAUAGUAUUUUCAGUAAUCAUGCUCAAACUCUUCAAUUUUACCUUGGAUAAUGUUUUCCAUUAUUUAUUAUGGUAACUACAAAGCCAUCUCAAUGUCUCCAUAUGCACUGCCCAGGCUUUUGGGCCCUGGAGAGGUCACUCCAGCUUCACUUUAUCUUUCAAACAAAGAUUACAUUCAGCAAGCUGAUGUCUCACUUGGCACACUGCUAUUGUCUCACAAGCCAGAAAGACACCUCCUAUUGCUAUUAAUACAAAGCCUAAGAGAUUUUUAUGUGUGUAAGGUCUAAAAACUUCAUAGCACUCCCAAAAGCACUACUGAGAACUUGUCCCAUCCACCUGCUCCAUGCACACCAAUCCAAGAAAUGAGAUAGUGAAACCACCCUAAGCAAGCUGCCCGCUCCAGCUUUCAAGUAUGCAGAAGGCUCAUUUUGAAAGCAAGUACAAUCCUAUUGAUACUCUAUAACUUUAGAAUGGACAGAUGCAGAACUUGGUGAUAUUAUAAACACAUUAAAAGAGAGCAUUACAAUAGCAAAAUCAAGCUCUCAAAUAUCAAAGUUUAGAUUGUCGUCAGAGUUAAGGUUGUCUGUGCAACCUGGCUUGUUCCCUCUGGAGUUAAUGUGUCAUUUGAAAAGGUUAGAGGUCAAAAUGAGUUACAAGAAGGGAUAUAAAAGGUGGCUUCUGGGGUAGGGGCAUGCUCAGUGGGAACUGAUGCCUGGUAUAUGUUCUUCAGCUGUGCUUCUGGAGCCCCACAGAAGCAGUGUAGAUAGAUGUAUCCAAAGCAAGCUGACAACUUCUAAACUGUACAAAAAUAGACUGUAUAAAUUGACUUUCACUGGUGAAGAUCAGAAUGACUAACAAACACAAGCCUUUAUACACAGUGGGUGUGUGUCUGGGGGAGGACUCACACAAGGAAGCAAACAAGUGGUGCUCUUUUAAGAUUCCUGUGGCAGAGAGCCAGUGUUUUAAUCUCACUUCCAUUCACAGGUUGAUGAUUGACUGACCUUGAGAUCAAAUGCCUGUUUCUAUAUUCAGCCACGGUAAAGACCUUCUUAGAUAC